rnacentral:rRNA from 1 species
GAUGAACGCUAGCGACAGGCUUAACACAUGCAAGUCGAGGGGUAACAGGGUAGCAAUACCGCUGACGACCGGCGCACGGGUGAGUAACGCGUAUGCAACCUGCCUAUAACUGGGGAAUAGCUCCCUGAAAGGGGAAUUAACACCGCAUAACACUAUUGAUUCGCAUGGAUUGGUAGUUAAAUGUAGCGAUACAGGUUAUAGAUGGGCAUGCGUGACAUUAGCUAGUUGGUGAGGUAACGGCUCACCAAGGCUACGAUGUCUAGGGGUCCUGAGAGGGUGGUCCCCCAACUGGUACUGAGACACGGACCAGACUCCUACGGGAGGCAGCAGUGAGGAAUAUUGGUCAAUGGGCGCAAGCCUGACCAGCCAUCCCGCGUGCAGGAAGACGGCCCUAUGGGUUGUAAACUGCUUUUCCAGGGAGAGAAACUUACGCACGUGUUGCGUGACUGACGGUACCCUGGGAAUAAGCAUCGGCUAACUCCGUGCCC